rnacentral:rRNA from 1 species
UACGAAGGGUGCAAGCGUUGCUCGGAAUUAUUGGGCGUAAAGGGUAGGUAGGUGGUUACGUAUGUCUGGGGUGAAAUCCCUGAGCUUAACUCAGGACGUGCCUUGGAAACGGCGUAACUAGAGUACUGGAGAGGUUCGUGGAAUUCCCGGUGUAGCGGUGAAAUGCGUAGAGAUCGGGAGGAACACCAGCGGCGAAGGCGGCCUACUGGGCCGGACCUGACGCUGAGACGCGAAGGCGUGGGGAGCGAACGGG